CAGGAACAGCGGUCUGCGGGCUCUCUCCCUAUCUGAUCCCAGUCCUGCUUGGUUUUGGAAACAAGGUGCAGACGGUCGUGUCCCUACAGAAUUAUGUGGAUUCCCUGAACUGCAAACUGCUUACAGCUCGUAAAGAAGGAAAAUGGAGGCAUAACAAAAGACAAAAAUUUUUAGAUGACGACAUUCAUUUAAACGGUGCAACCAAGGACAUGUGUCUUGUGCAUUUACAAAGACUUGUCCUGGCAGGUUGGCAGAGUUUUGCCCAUAAAGCACCCUCCUGGCACCCUCCUCCUCCGUCCACAGGGAGGUCGGGUGGUCUGACAGUGAGCAGGACUCUGCAGCCUCUCACCCACAGGGAGGUCGGGUGGUCUGACAGUGAGCAGGACUCUGCAGCCUCUCACCCACAGGGAGGUCGGGGGGUCUGACAGUGACUCUGCAGCCCCUCACCCACAGGGAGGGGAUCAGACAGCAACGCUAAACAGAAUCCAGCGUUGUCCCUGUGGAGCUGGAACUGCUGAGGUGUGAGAUUCCCUGCAGGGAGACAAUGCCUGAAUGAAGAGCGAGAGGAACUGUAUGGGAGGCCUCAUGCAUUGAUGCAACUCUCCCAAAUACCCAGGAAUUCAAGGAGGUUUAGUCCUG